AACUUUAAUGUCUUUCGAUCGACAUAGCUCUGCACACUGCUGAGUUAGCUGAUUUGUAGUUAUAGACUUUAGUUUAUCUUCAUUAGUCUUUAGCUUUUCUAUCUCAUUACCCAUACUGUCCACUUUCAUUGAAAGUGUAGUUAGGAUGUUGAGUAUUUUUUCUAGAGUAUCUUCUUCUAUUAUAUCAGUCUAUGUAGCUUUGUCUUGAUAUGUAAUCUGCAAUAACAUUUUUGUUAGUACUAAUUACUUCAAUUAUAA
rnacentral:lncRNA from 1 species